CAGAGGGGAAUCCCCUGGUGGUAGACAGUCUGUGUGACUCAGUACAUCAGCAAGUGUCCAGUGUAUCCCCUGACUGCGUAUACAGUGUAUCCCCUGACUGCUAGUAUACAGUGUAUUCCCUGACUGCUAGUAUACAGUGUAUCCCCUGACUGCUUAUACAGUGUAUUCCCUGACUGCUAGUAUACGGUGUAUCCCCUGACUGCUUAUACAGUGUAUUCCCUGACUGCUAGUAUACGGUGUAUCCCCUGACUGCUUAUACAGUGUAUCCCCUGACUGCUAGUAUACAGUGUAUCCCCCGACUGCUAGUAUACAGUGUGUUCCUUGACUGCUAGUUUACUGAGUAUCCUCUGACUUCAAGUUCUGAAUGUAUCUCCUGGCUGCAAGUAACUCAACGUAUGCACUAACCUCAAUUACCC